UUAGGCUGCAUAGCGCCUGGACUCGGCUUUGCUGAGUUGACGAGGAUCGGGAUUAUCGAAAUAUCGGCGGAUGUCCCGGCGGCUUUUCACGGCCGAAAAAGGUCUGGCAAAUCUCCUGAGUGAUCGGGAGGACAAGAAGGAUCGGGUGAAGCUG
rnacentral:ncRNA from 2 species